rnacentral:lncRNA from 1 species
CAUAGAUCCGCUCGAUUUACACUAUUUUUAAAAUUUUAUAGUUAAAGAUUGAAAAUAAAUUUUAAAAUCGUUACAAAGAUUUCUAAUACUGAAACACGGCAGUAUUUGAGGUGCGCCUUGAUUAGUUAAGGCCUCAGCCUUAUACAAACUUACGAAUCAAAACCCUCUCUCUAUCUAAAACUCAACAGUAACGCGCAUUAUUCUCCUCUCUCUCCCUCUCUCUCUCUCUCUAAAAUUCAAUAGUACC